rnacentral:lncRNA from 1 species
UAUCCAGGUGUCCCACAUAUGAGAGCCAAUUCCAAAGAAAUAACUACAACUUGGAAAAAACUAUAUGCAUAAAGAUGUUCAUUAUGGUGUUAGCUACAGCAGCAAAACAAAAAAAAAAUCACAGAAAAUAUUUGCAAGAAUUCCCAAAUAGAAAAUUAUUAAGUCAGCUAUGACACUUUCCCAGUAGGAUAUUAUGCAGCACUUAACAUGAAAGUCACUAAGUUUACAUGGAAAAAUACCUGAAGCGUAAUCUUAGGUUAAAAUAAAUCUAAAUAUACUUAUAUGCUAUAGUUGCACUUUUUAAAAAAUAUGACAGGCAGCAUGAAAUAUCCAGAAUAGGCAAAUUCAUAGAGACCGAAAGACAGGCAUAGUGGUUGCCACAGGCUGGAGGAAGAAAAGAAUGUGGAGUGACUGCUAAUGCAUAAAAAGGGUUUCCUUUUGGGGUGAUAAAAAUGUUCCAGAACAAGAUAUGGGUGAUGGUUGCACAACAUUGUAAUAAUAUAAUAAUGUAAUAAUGCCACUAUGUUGUACACCUUAAAGUGGUUAAAAUGGU